AUGGAUAAGGUGGAUAAGGUGGUCGCCGGGGGUGGCGAGGUGCAGCAGUCGGAGCCGGAGCCAGAACCGGCUGCUGAGCCGUCGACGUUUGCGGAGCUGGGCAUCUGCCCCAAGCUGGUGGAGGCGUGUGACGCCAUGGGGUGGAAGCAGCCCACGAAGAUCCAGGCGGGGGCCAUCCCUUACGCUCUCAAAGGCAGGGACCUGAUUGGUCUGGGACAGACGGGGUCGGGGAAGACAGGUGCCUUUGCGCUGCCGAUUAUCCAGGCGCUGAUCCAGCACCCCCAGCCCUUCUUCGCCUGCGUCAUGUUGCCCACGAGGGAGCUAGCGAUUCAGAUUGCGGAGCAGUUUGAGGCGUUGGGGUCAGCGAUCGGCUUGGUUUGCUCAGUGCUUGUUGGAGGAGUUGACCGGAUGCAGCAAGUGUUAUCCAUUGCAAAACGUCCACAUAUUGUGGUUGGAACUCCUGGCCGUCUUUUGGACCAUUUGAAAGAUACAAAAGGUUUUAGCCUAACUAAAUUGAAAUACUUGGUACUUGAUGAAGCUGAUAAAUUACUUAAUUUGGAGUUCAAGGAAUCACUUGAUGAGAUUCUGAAUGUCAUUCCUAAAGAAAGGAUAACCUACCUUUUUUCAGCGACAAUGACCAAAAAGGUAAGCAAACUGCAACGUGCUUGUCUCAGAAACCCUGUCAAGAUUGAAGUAUCCUCCAAAUAUUCUACAGUGGACACACUUAAAGAAGAGUGGUACUUCGUUCCUGCAGAUUACAAGGAUUGUUAUCUUGUUCAUGUUCUGAAUGAGUUGCCAGGGAGCAUGACCAUGAUCUUCGUGCGGACCUGCGAGUCAACAAGACUCCUUGCUCUCACUUUAAGGAAUCUUGGUUUUAAAGCUCUCUCUAUCAGUGGCCAGAUGAGUCAGGACAAAAGACUAGGCGCUUUAAACAAGUUCAAAGCAAAGGAAUUCAACAUCCUUAUUUGCACCGACGUGGCAAGCCGUGGUCUUGACAUUCAAGGAGUUGAUGUGGUUAUGAAUUAUGAUAUUCCAAUGAAUUCUAAGGAUUAUGUACAUCGGGUCGGUAGGACUGCGCGUGCAGGGCAAUCAGGAUAUGCUGUAUCUUUUGUGAAUCAGUAUGAGGGUCUGUGGUUUAAGAUGAUCGAGGCGCUCCUUGGAAAGGAAAUUCCUGUCCGGACGGCAGACGCUGAUGAGAUCCUGAUACUUCGUGAGCAUAUAUCCGAUUCAAAGAGGAUUGCACUGAUGAAACUGAAGGAGGACGGUGGUCACAAGAGGAGGAAAGCGGAGGACGAGGAUAAAGAAGAGGAGGAAGCUCCAAGAGGUCGCCACCGAAAACCGAGGUCUUUCAAGAAAUCAAAAGGGCGGCGAUAG
rnacentral:rRNA from 1 species